rnacentral:lncRNA from 1 species
CAACGGAUUCUAUCAGAACUCCGCAAGUUAAGGGUGCUUGGGCGAGAGUAGCACUAGGAUGGGUGACCUCCUGCGAAGUCCUUAUAUUUCACCUAUUUUCUUAGGAAGUCCUCGUGUUGCACCCAUUUUUUUGCAGAUGAUUCUUUCGACGAUACGCGCGACUUGAAUUAUGGUCCUCAGGUUUAUUCGCAAAUGUGAGUCACGGCACCGUAGCAUUUUACUUGAUAUUAGAACGAGCACGAGAGGUGUAGUGCGCGCGCACAAGGAAACAAAUGACGGGAGACGGAAGAAAGGAGAAGGAGUUUAUGUAUUUGCAGCGUGGAAUUAAACGGGUGCGAUCAUACCAGCACAAAUGCACCGGAUCUCAUCAGAACUCCGCAGUUAAGUGUGCUUUGGCGAAAGUAGUACAGUGAUGGGUUACCUCCUGGGAAGUUCUCGUGUUACACCCAUUUUCUUUUUUUCAGAUGUGCCGUUCGACGUUACGCACGACUUUAAUUAUGGUCCGCAGAUUUAUUCGUAAAUUUAAGUCACGGCGCCGUGGCAUUUUACUUGAUAUUUAAACGAGAUCGAGAGGUGCAGUGCGUACGCACAAGGAAACAAAUGACGGGAGGGGGAAGAUAGGAGAAGGAGUUUAUGUAUUUGCUGCGCAAAAUUAAACAGGUGCGAUCAUACCAGCACAAAUGCAGCGGAUCCCAUCAGAACUCCACAGUUAAGUGUGCUUGGGCGGGAGUAGUACUCGGAUGGGUGACCUCUUGACAGGCCUCGUGUCGCACUAAUUUUUUUUUCCGACGGGUCGUUCGACGUUACGCGCGACUGGAACUAGGGUCCACUAGUUUAUACGCAAAUGUGAGUCAAGAAGCAGGGGUAUUUUAAUCGAUAUUAGAACGAGAAGGAGAGAAGCAGUGUGCACGCACAAGGAAACAAAUGACGGGAGGGGGGAUGGAGGGAGAAAAAGUGUAUGUAUUUGCAGCGCAGAAUGAAACAUGAACAAUCAUACCAGCACCAAUGCAACGGAUUCUAUCAGAACUCUGCAAGUUAAAGGUGCUUGGGCGAGUGUAGCACUAGGAUGGGUGACCUCCUGCAAAGUCCUUAUAAUUCACCCAUUUUCUUAGGAAGUUCUCGUGUUGCACCCAUUUUUUUGCAGAUGAUUCUUUCGACGAUACGCGCGACUUGAAUUAUGGUCAUCAGGUUUAUUCGCAAAUGUGAGUCAAGGCACCGUAGCAUUUUACUUGAUAUUAGAAAGAGCACGGGAGGUGCAGUGCGCACGCACAAGGAAACAAAUGACGGGAGGGGGAAGAAAGGAGAAGGAGUUUAUGUAUUUGCAGCGUGGAAUUAAACGUGUGCGAUCAUACCAGCACUAAUGCACCGGAUCCCGUCAGAACUCCGCAGUUAAGUGUGCUUUGGCGAGAGUAGUACUCGGAUGGGUGACCUCUUGGGAAGUUCUCGUGUCGCACUAAUUUUGUUUCAAACGGGUCGUUCGACGUUACGCAGGACUGGAACUAGGGUCCGCUGGUUUAUACGCAAAUGUGAGUCAAGAAGCAGGGUCAUUUUAAUCGAUAUUAGAACGAGAAAGAGAGGUGCAGUGUGAACGCACAAGGAAACAAUUGAUGGGAGGGGGAGGGAAGGAGAAAGAGUGUAUCGACGAUACGCGCGACUUGAAUUAUGGUCCUCAGGUUUAUUCGCAAAUGUGAGUCACGGCACAGUAGCAUUUUACUUGAUAUUAGAACGAGCACGGGAGGUGUAGUGCGCACGCACAAGGAAACAAAUGACGGGAGGGGGAAGAAAGGAGAAGGAGUUUAUGUAUUUGCAGCCCGGAAUUAAAGGGGUGCGAUCAUACCAGCACUAAUGCGCCGGAUCCCUUCAGAACUCCGCAGUUAAGUGUGCUUGGGCGAGAGUAGUACUCGGAUGGGUGACCUCCUGGGAAGUUCUCGUGUCGCACCAAUUUUUUUUCAGAUGGGUCGUUCGACGUUACGCGCGACUGGAAUUAGGGUCCGCUGGUUUAUACACAAAUGUGAGUCUAGAAGCAGGGGCAUUUUAAUCGAUAUUAGAAUGAGAAUGAGAGGUGAAGUGUGAACGCACAAGGAAACAAAUGACGGGAGGGGGAAGAAAGGAGAAGGAGUGUAUGUAUUUGCAGCGCGAAAUUAAACAAGUGCAAUCAUACCAGCACUAAAGCUCCGGAUCCCAUCAGAACUCCGCAGUUAAGUGUGCUUGGGCGAGGGUAGUACUCGGAUGGUUGACCUCCUGGGAAGUCCUCUUGUCGCACCAAUUUUUUUUCAGACGGGUCGUUCGACGUUACGCGCGACUUGAAUUAUGGUCUCAGGUUAUUCGCAAAUGUGAGUCACGGCACCGUAGCAUUUACUUUAUAUUAGAACGAGCACGGGAGGUGCAGUGCGCACGCACAAGGAAACAAAUGACGGGAGGGGGAAGAAAGGAGAAGGAGUUUAUGUAUUUACAGCGCGGAAUUAAACGGGUGCGAUCAUACCAGCACUCAUGCACCGGAUCCCAUCAGAACUCCGCAGUUAAGUGUGCUUUGGCGAGAGUAGUACUCGGAUUGGUGACCUCCUGGGAAGUCUUCGUGUCGCACCAAUUUUUUUUCAGACGGGUCGUUCGACGUUACGCGCGACUGGAGCUAGUGUCCGCUGGUUUAUACGCAAAUGUGAGUCAAGAAGUAAGGGCAUUUUAAUCGAUAUUAGAACGAGAAGGAGAGGUGCAGUGUGAAUGCACAAGGAAACAAUUGAUGGGAGGGGGAGGGAAGGAGAAUGAGUGUAUGUAUUUUGAGCACGAAAUGAAACAGGUGCGAUCAGACCAACACUAAUGCAACGGAUUCUAUCAGAACUCCGUAGGUAAGGGUGUUUGGGCGAGAGUAGUACUAGCAUGGGUUACCUCCUGCGAUGUCCUUAUAUUUCAACCAUUUUCUUCUGAAGUCCUCGUGUUGCACCCAUUUUUUUUGCAGACGAUUCUUUCGACGUUACGCGCGACUUGAAUUAUGGUCCUCAGGUUUAAUCGCAAAUGUGAGUCACGGCGCCGUGGCAUUUUACUUGAUAUUAGAACGAGAACGGGAGGUGCAAUGCGCACGCACAAGGAAACAAAUGACGGGAGGGGGAAGAAAGGGGAAUGCGUGUAUGUAUUUGCAGCGCGAAAUUUAACAGGUGCGAUCAUACAAGCACAAAUGCGCCGGAUCCCAUCAGAACUCCGCAGUUAAGUGUGCUUUGGCGAAAGUAGUACAAUGAUGGGUUACCUCGUGGGAACUUCUCGUGUUGCACCCAUUUUCUUUUUUUCAGAUGUUCCGUUCGACGUUACGCUCGACUUUAAUUUUGGUCCGCAGAUUUAUUCGAAAAUGUGAGUCACGGCGCUUGUGGCAUUUUACUUGAUAUUUGAACGAGAACGAGAGGUGCAGUGUGCACGCACAAGGAAACAAAUGACGGGAGGGGGAAGAAAGGAGAAGGAGUUUAUGUAUUUGCAGCGCAAAAUUAAACAAGUGCGAUCAUACCAGCACUAAUUCACCGGAUCCCAUUAGAACUCCGCAGUUAAGUGUGCUUGGGCGAGAGUAGUACUCAGAUGGGUGACCUCUUGGGAAGUCCUCGUGCCGCACUAAUUUUUUUUUCAGACGGGUCGUUCGACGUUACGCGCGACUGGAAUUAGGGUCCACUGGUUUAUACGCAAAUGUGAGUCAAGAAACAGGGGAUUUCAAAUGAUAUUAGAACGAGAAAGAGAGAUGCAGAGUGCACGCACAAGGAAACAAAUGACGGGAGGGGGGAUGGAGGGAGAAAAAGUGUAUGUAUUUGCAGCGUAGAAUGAAACAGGAGCAAUCAUACCAGCACCAAUGCAACGGAUUCUAUCAGAACUCCGCAAGUUAAAGGUGCUUGGGCGAGAGUAGCACUAGGAUGGGUGACUUCCUGCGAAGUCUUUAUAUUUCACCCAUUUUCUUAGGAAGUCCUCGUGUUGUACCUAUUUUUUUGCAGAUGAUUCUUUCGACGAUACGCGCGACUUGAAUUAUGGUCCAAGGUUUAUUCGCAAAUGUGAGUCACGGCACCGUAGCAUUUUACUUUAUAUUAGAACGAGCACGGGAGGUGCAGUACGCACGCACAAGGAAACAAAUGACGGGAGGGGGAAGAAAGGAGAAGGAGUUUAUGUAUUUACAGCGCGAAAUUAAACGGGUGCGAUCAUACCAGCACUCAUGCACCGGAUCCCAUCAGAACUCCGCAGUUAAGUGAGUUUGGGCGAGAGUAGUACUUGGAUGGGUGACCUCUUGGGAAGUCUUCGUGUCGCACCAAUUUUAUUUCAAACGGGUCGUUCGACGUUACGCGCGACUGGAACUAGGGUCCGCUGGUUUAUACGCAAAUGUGAGUCAAGAAUCAGGGGCAUUUUAAUCGAUAUUAGAACGAGAAUGAGAGGUGCAGUGUGAGCGCACAAGGAAACAAAUGAUGGGAGGGGGGGAGGGAAGAAGGAGUGUAUGUAUUUUCAGCACGAAAUUAAACAGGUGCGGUCACACCAGCACAAAUGCACCGGAUCCCAUCAGAACUCCGCAGUUAAGUGUGCUUUGGCGAAAGUAGUACAAUGAUGGGUUACCUCCUGGGAAGUUGUCGUGUUGCACCCAUUUUUUUUUUCAGAUGUGUCGUUCGACGUUACGCGCGACUUGAAUUAUGGUCCUCAGGUUUAUUCGCAAAUGUGAGUCACGGCGCCGUGGCAUUUUACUUUAUAUUAGAACGAGAACAGGAGGUGCAGUGCGCACGCACAAGGAAACAAAUGACGGGAUGAGGAAGAAAAGAGAAGGAGUGUAUGUAUUUGAAGCGCAAAAUUAAACAAGUGGCAUCAUACCAGCACUAAUGCACUGGAUCCCAUCAGAACUCUGCAGUUAAGCAUGCUUGGGCGAGAGUAGUCCUCGGAUGGAUGACCUCUUGGGAAGUUCUCGUAUCGCAAUAAUUUUUUUUCAGAUGGGUCGUUCGACGUUACGCGCGACUGGAACUAUGGUCCGCUGGUUUAUACGCAAAUGUGAGUCAAGAAUCAGGGGCAUUUUAAUCGAUAUUAGAACGAGAAUGAGAGGUGCAGUGUGAACGCACAAGGAAACAAAUGACGGGAGGGGGAAGAAUGGAGGAGUGUAUGUAUUUGCAGCGCAAAAUUAAAGAGGUGCGAUCAUAGCAGCACUAAAGCCCCAGAUCCCAUCAGAACUCCGCAGUUAAGUGUGCUUGGGCGAGAGUAGUACUCGGAUGGGUGACCACCUGGGAAACCCUCGUGUUGCACCUAUUUUUUUUCGGAUGGGUUUUUCGACAAUACGCGCGAAUGGAAUUAUAAACUGCUGGUUCAUUUGCAAAGGUGAGUCACGGUGCCGGGGCAUAUUACUGGAUAUUAGAACGAUAAAGAGAGAUGCAGAGUGCACGCACAAGGAAACAAAUGACGGGAGGGGGAAGAAAGGAGAAGGAGUUUAUGUAUUUGCAGCGCGAAAUUAAACAGGUGCGAUCAUACAAGCACUAAUGCACCGGAUCCCAUCAGAACUCCGCAGUUAAGUGUGCUUGGGCGAGAGUAGUACUAUGAUGGGUGACCUCCUUGGAAGUCCUCGUGUCGAAUUAAUUUUUUUUUCAGACGGGUCGUUCGACGUUACGCGCGACUAGAACUAGGGUCCACUGGUUUAUAUGCAAAUGUGAGUCAAGAAGCAAGGGCAUUUUAAUCGAUAUUAGAACGAGAAGGAGAGAUGCAGAGUGCACACACAAGGAAACAAAUGACGGGAGGGGGGAUGGAGGGAGAAAAGGUGUAUGUAUUUGCAGGGCAGAAUGAAACAUGGCAAUCAUACCAGCACGAAUGCAACGGAUUCUAUCAGAACUCCCCAAGUUAAGGGUGCUUGGGCGAGAGUUGCACUAGGAUGGGUGACCUCCUGCGAAGUCCUUAAAUUUCACCCAUUUUCUUAGGAAGUCCUCGUGUUGCACCCAUUUUUUUGCAGAUGAUUCUUUCGACGAUACGCGCGACUUGAAUUAUGGUCCUCAGGUUUAUUCGCAAAUGUGAGUCACGACACCUUAGCAUUUUACUUGAUAUUAGAACAAGCACGGGAGGUGUAGUGCGCACGCACAAGGAAACAAAUGACGGGAGGGGGAAGAAAGGAGAAGGAGUUUAUGUAUUUGCAGCGCGGAAUUAAAGGGGUGCGAUCAUACCAGCACUAAUGCGCCGGAUCCCUUCAGAACUCCGCAGUUAAGUGUGCUUGGGCGAGAGUAGUACU